GGAUUAGAUACCCUGGUAGUCCACGCUGUAAACGAUGUCGGCUCGGUGUUUGGGAACGAUUCGCGUUCCUGAGUGCCUCAGUCCACACGGUAAGCCGACCGCCUGGGGACUACGAGCGCAAGCUUAAAACUCAAAGGAAUUGACGGGGACCCGCACAAGCAGCGGAGCGUGUGGUUUAAUUCGACGCAACACGAAGAACCUUACCCAGGUUUGACAUGAUACUGCAAGCCCACGGAGACGUGGGACCUUCGAGGGUGUAUCACAGGUGCUGCAUGGCUGUCGUCAGCUCGUGUCG
rnacentral:rRNA from 1 species